rnacentral:rRNA from 1 species
GACAGAGGUCCCGAGCGUUAGGCGGAAUCACUGGGCUUAAAGCGUGUGUAGGCGGAUUUGUAAGUACCUUGUGAAAUCCCACAGCUUAACUGUGGUACUGCUUGGUAUACUGCUUAUCUUGGGCCACUUAGGGGUUACCGGAACAAACGGUGGAGCGGUGAAAUGCGUAGAUAUCCGGAGGAACACCGGUGGCGAAGGCGGCUUCCUGGACCGACACUGACGCUGAGGCGCGAAAGCUAGGGGAGCAAACGGG